rnacentral:rRNA from 1 species
GAUGAACGCUGGCGGCGUGCCUAAUACAUGCAAGUCGAGCGAAUGGAUUAAGAGCUUGCUCUUAUGAAGUUAGCGGCGGACGGGUGAGUAACACGUGGGUAACCUGCCCAUAAGACUGGGAUAACUCCGGGAAACCGGGGCUACUACCGGAUAACAUUUUGAACCGCAUGGUUCGAAAUUGAAAGGCGGCUUCGGCUGUCACUUAUGGAUGGACCCGCGUCGCAUUAUCUAGUUGGUGAGGUAACGGCUCACCAAGGCAACGAUGCGUAGCCGACCUGAGAGGGUGAUCGGCCACACUGGGACUGAGACACGGCCCAGACUCCUACGGGAGGCAGCAGUAGGGAAUCUUCCGCAAUGGACGAAAGUCUGACGGAGCAACGCCGCGUGAGUGAUGAAGGCUUUCGGGUCGUAAAACUCUGUUGUUAGGGAAGAACAAGUGCUAGUUGACUAAGCUGGCACCUUGACGGUACCUAACCAGAAAGCCACGGCUAACUACGUGCCAGCCGCCGCAGUAA